GUAUUACAUAAAGAUUGUUCCAACCGAGUAUAAAUACAUAUCGAAAGAAGUCUUACCCACAAAUCAAUUCUCUGUUACCGAGUACUUCUCCCCGAUGAAUGAAUAUGACAGGACGUGGCCAGCGGUUUACUUUUUAUAUGAUCUUUCACCUAUUACUGUUACCAUCAAAGAAGAGCGACAAAGUGUUCUCCACUUCAUAACUCGGUU